rnacentral:rRNA from 1 species
UACGUAGGGUGCAAGCGUUGUCCGGAAUUAUUGGGCGUAAAGAGCUCGUAGGCGGUCUGUCGCGUCGGCUGUGAAAACUCGGGGCUCAACCCCGAGCCUGCAGUCGAUACGGGCAGACUAGAGUGCGGUAGGGGAGACUGGAAUUCCUGGUGUAGCGGUGAAAUGCGCAGAUAUCAGGAGGAACACCGGUGGCGAAGGCGGGUCUCUGGGCAAUAACUGACGCUGAGGAGCGAAAGCGUGGGGAGCGAACAGG